rnacentral:rRNA from 1 species
UACGGAGGGUGCAAGCGUUAUCCGGAUUCACUGGGUUUAAAGGGUGCGUAGGUGGGCAGGUAAGUCAGUGGUGAAAUCUCCGGGCUUAACUCGGAAACUGCCAUUGAUACUAUCUUUCUUGAAUACCGUGGAGGUCAGCGGAAUAUGUCAUGUAGCGGUGAAAUGCUUAGAUAUGACAUAGAACACCAAUUACGAAGGCAGCUGGCUACACGAAUAUUGACACUGAUGCACGAAAGCGUGGGGAUCAAACAGG